rnacentral:rRNA from 1 species
AGCUCCGAUAGCGUAUAUUAAAGUUGUUGCAGUUAAAAAGCUCGUAGUUGAACUUCUACUAGAUUUUCGUUGCCUUUCGGUUUGAUGAGAAUCUGGUAUCCCCUUUGAUCUAUCGGCAUGCACUUAGUUGAGCAGUUGUAAGAUCAAGGAAUUUACUUUGAAAAAGUUAGAGUGUUUCAGGCAGGCGAAUUGCUGGAAUACAUUAGCAUGGAAUAAUAGAACACGACCUCUUUGUCAAUUUAUUGGUCUUUUGGUAGGAGGUAAUGAUUAACAGGGACAGUUGGGGGCAUUAGUAUUGUAUUGUCAGAGGUGAAAUUCAUUGAUUAAUGCAAGACUAACUUAUGCGAAAGCAUUUGCCAGGAAUGUUU